rnacentral:rRNA from 1 species
UACAGAGGGGGCAAGCGUUGUUCGGAAUUACUGGGCGUAAAGGGCGCGUAGGCGGCCUGUUAAGUCGAACGUGAAAUCCCCGGGCUCAACCCGGGAACUGCGUCCGAUACUGGAAGGCUUGAAUCCGGGAGAGGGAUGUGGAAUUCCAGGUGUAGCGGUGAAAUGCGUAGAUAUCUGGAGGAACACCGGUGGCGAAGGCGGCAUCCUGGACCGGUAUUGACGCUGAGGCGCGAAAGCUAGGGGAGCAAACGGG